AUUGAACGCUGGCGGCAGGCCUAACACAUGCAAGUCGAGCGAGUGGCGGACGGGUGAGUAAUGUCUGGGAAACUGCCUGAUGGAGGGGGAUAACUACUGGAAACGGUAGCUAAUACCGCAUACCAUCAGAUGUGCCCAGAUGGGAUUAGCUAGUAGGUGGGGUAACGGCUCACCUAGGCGACGAUCCCUAUCUGGUCUGAGAGGAUGCCCAGCCACACUGGAACGGAGACACGGUCCAGACUCCUACGGGGGGCAGCAGUGGGGAAUAUUUCACAAUGGGCGCAAGCCUGAUGCAGCCAUGCCGCGUGUGUGAAGAAGGCCUUCGGGUUGUAAAGCACUUUCAGCGGGGAGGCGUUACUCGCAGAAGAAGCACCGGCUAACUCCGUGCCAGCAGCCGCGGUAAUUC
rnacentral:rRNA from 1 species